GUGCUUGCUCAGAUAGCACAUAUACUAAAAUUUGAACGAUACAGAGAAGAUUAGCGUGACCCCUGCACAAGGAUGACAUGCAAAUUUGUGAAGCAUUCCAUAUUUUC
rnacentral:snRNA from 1 species